rfam:Ixodes scapularis strain Wikel colony gcontig_1108379223374, whole genome shotgun sequence.
UCCUGGCUAGCUCAGUCGGUAAAGCGCUCGACUGGAAAUGGAGAGGUUCCUGGUUCGAUACCAGGACCAGGCG